GACUGAGGGCGCGAGCGUCUAUCGGAAUUACUGGGCGUAAACCGCAUGUAGGCGGCCGAACAAGUCAGGUGUGAAAUCCUCGGGCUUAACCUGGGAAGUGAACUUGAUACUGUCAGGCUAGAGUUUGGCAGAGGAAAGUAGAAUUCCCGGUGUAGCGGUGAAAUGCGUAGAUAUCGGGAUGAAUGCCAGUGGCGAAGGAGGCUUUCUGGGCCAAUACUGACGCUGAUUUGCGAAAUCCUGGGGAGCAUACAGG
rnacentral:rRNA from 1 species